rnacentral:rRNA from 1 species
AGUGAACGCUGGCGGUAGGCCUAACACAUGCAAGUCGAACGGCAGCACAGUAAGAGCUUGCUCUUACGGGUGGCGAGUGGCGGACGGGUGAGGAAUACAUCGGAAUCUACUUUUUCGUGGGGGAUAACGUAGGGAAACUUACGCUAGUACCGCAUACGACCUACGGGUGAAAGCAGGGGAUCUUCGGACCUUGCGCGAUUGAAUGAGCCGAUGUCGGAUUAGCUAGUUGGCGGGGUAAAGGCCCACCAAGGCGACGAUCCGUAGCUGGUCUGAGAGGAUGAUCAGCCACACUGGAACUGAGACACGGUCCAGACUCCUACGGGAGGCAGCAGUGGGGAAUAUUGGACAAUGGGCGCAAGCCUGAUCCAGCCAUACCGCGUGGGUGAAGAAGGCCUUCGGGUUGUAAAGCCCUUUUGUUGGGAAAGAAAAGCAGCAGGUUAAUACCCCGCUGUUCUGACGGUACCCAAAGAAUAAGCACCGGCUAACUUCG